AUGCAGCACAACCCCUUUUUUGAGGAGCUCAUAGCUGAGGAGUCACAGAGGACCCCUCCUCUGGCUCCUUGCUCCUCUCCUGGCUCAUCCCCCUUCCACUUCACCACUGUCGCCUCGCAGCCCUGCACAUCCGGCCCGAACGCUCCCAGCGUGCCUUCCACGAAGCGGGAGCGCCCCAGGCCUGUAGCUAGGCAGAUUUCACUGCCUGCGUUCGAAGCAGCCACACAGAACUCCACGGACCUCCCGGCCCCUCGCUCCAUGUCGGAGAGCGCGGGGGAGUGGGAGGAGUCGUUCGACGCCUUCGCCUCCAGCCGACUGAACUCCCCUAAAGGGGGUCUUCACCCCAAACAGCCCAGGACUAGUCUCACUUCAUCCCACAGACAUAGUCACGGUCCGGCCAUCAGCAGCAAUCACACAGGGCUGCAGGCGUUCGCCGAGGAGCCUCCGCCGCUGCCCCCGAGGCGGCCGGUUCGAACCCCGGUGAGCGAGCUCUACUCGGACGGCUGGCUGCACAGAGGCCAGGAGCUGGCGGUCCAUAAGGAGGCCUACCUCCUGUCGCAGACCGGCGUGGCCUCGCUGCAGCGCGGGCGCGAGGGCGGCGCGUCCCCGGACCCCCCCGCCGGCGCCGAGACCUCGGACCCCGUCGGCGUCCGGGCCCAGGCGGCGACGGGCACGUCGGGGUUCUCCUGCCAGGAGGAGCUCAGGAAGUUCCGCUACGAGCCGCUGCAGGACGAUAAUGACUGCUGGGGGGGUCUGCUGUUCGAACAGGACCUGUACGGACGCACCUGUAAGGGGAACUAUGGGAAACCGAAGGCCACACACCCCCUUUUAUCACUGUGCACAGAGGAAACGCCUGGAAACAACGUCGCGUUGAGCAACUCAGGGCUUAAAACUCUACUUGACACCGAGAUCUCGGUUACGGAGCUUCUCAACAUGUCAAACCCCUCCUCCCUCAACGCAGACGCAAAGGUACCGCAAAUUACAAACACCGUAGCAGAGGAGACAGCGGACGAGUUCGACCCCCAUGAACCCAACAACAACGUCUCUUUCUCCCUGACGUUAGAGGACCUGAACAUGAACGUUAACAAUUCAGACUUUAGCUUUAUCGACUCUGAUGGCUCCUCUCAGUCCGAGGCCGCUGAGGUUCUGAGGGGACCCGCCGGUCCAACAUGGCAGCCCCCACAGCUGGUGGUUUACCGCACCGAGACGCCCCCUGAGGAGCUGCUCCCUCUGAAGGACACCUACAUACCCGAGACAGACUCUUCCUUCGAAAUAACGCCAUCGUCCAACAAGCUGUGUAAAGUCUCUCCGGUUUGCCAGGACGGCCCCCGUGAGCCGACCUCCAGGGUCCCAGCGCCACCGUCUCCAAUUCAAGCAUUCAAUUCGUCCACUUUUCCACCCGAAUCCAGCGAAGGCCAAGCAGGAAGUGAAGGCGUAGACUUUGAUGAUAAUGGAAACCUAGAUGUUCAAUCGGAGCCGUUUCCUGUGGUCAGUGCCCGUUUUCGACCCAGAGCAGUGAACCAGCGGAGGGACGCUGAGUUUGACCAGCUGCUGUCGCUGGUUCAGAACAUCUCACGGGCCGGUGGCGGACCGUGGUCGCGUCAGAGCGCGACUCCAGCUCCUCCCUCAGGAGCGCUACGCGAGCCGACCGGCUCCGAUCUGCAGUCGUCGGGCGACAGCGCGACGGGAAAACGCGGUGAGGUCAGUUUUGAAGACCUCCACGCGAGAGUGGCGCCAAGCUCGAGGGCACCGCGGCAGGCGCCCGGGGCCCCGCCCCCCUCCAACCCCCUCCCCGCUGCCAACGCCCACCUCCACCCCGCCCCCCUCUGCUGCGCCUCCACGCUGCCCUCAUGCACGGGGCCCAGUGCUGGAGCCAGCGCCACCCUGGCCGUGGCCCCCUACAUCUCCUCCUCCUCCACCACCUCCUCCUCCUCCUCCACCUCCACCUCCACCUCUGACCAGCCCCUGGUCGAUGCACGCCACUCACUUUUGCCUGAGGAGACACAGCCAGCUAGCAGCCUGCCCCGUCAGGAGAGCAGGUGA
rnacentral:lncRNA from 1 species